rnacentral:rRNA from 1 species
UACGGGGGGGGCAAGCGUUGUUCGGAAUUACUGGGCGUAAAGGGCGCGUAGGCGGCCUACUAAGUCGGACGUGAAAUCCCUCGGCUCAACCGGGGAACUGCAUCCGAUACUGGUGGGCUCGAAUCCGGGAGAGGGAUGUGGAAUUCCAGGUGUAGCGGUGAAAUGCGUAGAUAUCUGGAGGAACACCGAUGGCGAAGGCAGCCCCCUGGGUUAACACUGACGCUCAUGCACGAAAGCGUGGGGAGCAAACAGG